GGGUGUUUUCUGGUGUCUCCCCUAUAUUGCCCAGUGCAGAGACGCUUCUAGCAGGUGAUCAGUUUGUACACGUGCAUUGACGAGUAAAGCAAAGACACUGGAUGACUUGUACUAACGGGACUUAGGGGGUGAGGUGCAACCCCCCAUCCCUGUGGUACCGUGGGUAGCGGCCGCCCAGACCAAACCCACAAGCUCCUGUCUAAGCCUGCUCCUCGCUCAGCGGUCCCACCCACAACUGCUGAUCCUGGGAAAGGUAUGCCCGCACCCCCUGCUUCUCUUGUGUCUCUGUCUGUGCCUGACUCUCCUUUUCCAUCUUCUACGUGGAGCUUUGCAGGUUCUCCCUGAACUACUGCCUGUUCUCGGCCCCUUCACCCCUUUUGAUUUUCCUCUCCGGGGAGGAGCCAGAUGCAGGCAUCUGAGCAGCUGCUGGAGAGAGAAGGACUUGGAGCUGGAGGGACUGGGCUCCCAGCACCACUUCAUUUGGACUGUCCUUCCCCUGAGGCCCAGCUGCACACCAGGAGUGUCAGGACCCGCACUGGACCUCUGGGGAGCUGCAGGCGCUUGGCAUCAUUUUAUUUUUAUUUGAGGCAGUGAUGUCCAGAUGGAAGCAAAUAAACAGAAGACGUCCUCUGCUCCAGUGCAACUUGUGGAGCCCAUGUGACACAAUUCUGGCCUGUGGGACACGAACAGAAGUCUGCUGGGUCUUUCUGGGAAGGUUUUGUUUCCUCGUUGCUUUUCUUUUUCUUCCUGCUUGGGGUGUAGACUGGAGUCUGGAGGUGCAGGAGCCACGUUGCAACCAUGAGGCAACCCCAAGGAUAAAAGUGCCGCUUUUCCCUGAGUGGGCUUCGUUCUCAGGCAGUUUCUCACCUGGCAGUGGCCAGAUGGCAAUGUCACACUUGCGUCACAGCAACCCCAGCAGUGAAACAGUCUUUUUUCUCCAAUCAUUCAGCAACAAUGCUGACGAGGGCUGUCGUUGGCUCAGCGAGGUCACAUGCCCUCUCUUGGCCAAUCAUGGAAGUCAAGGACACACAGUGCUGCCAUUGAUUAUGUCAGAGUCAUGUGCUCCUCGACGGAGUCUGGUGAGAUGUCUGCCCUACCUCCACUGAAGGGAGGGAAGGAUGGGGUCCCACCCGGAAGAAGGUCCAUCCGUGCUGGUCAGGGUAAAGCAACAGAUAUCUCUCUAGUGUAGGCAUGCAGCCCCCCCUUUCACAGUCUGGCUGAAGGCUAGUCCCUGACCUUGGUGUCCAUGCACGUGGUCAAAACUGUCCAAGUCUUUCUCUAAGGGAGAAAAGGAGGACCAGUUAAAGACUCAUUAGGAAGCAUAAACGCAGCCUGGCUCACCAGGUAAAAUUUAUGACUUCAAUAUCCAGCUCAGCUGGGACCUGGAUGCUGUUUGCAGGAACUUCUACCGGCUUUUUCUGCCUUUAGUUCUCCACCUGCCAUUGCAAGGCACUGGUAGAACUUCCCCAAAUGAAGUCACUAGGCUUUUCGACACGUGGAUUUGAUGUGACUCUGCCAAGAAGACUUCUAACCCUGCUGCCCACUUAAACCUCACUCUUGGGGUUCUGGAGACCACCGCCUCUCCAGCCCCUUCACGGAAAAGGAAAGAGGUGCUGCCUUGACUCCCUCAUCAGCAGGCCAUUCUGGUUUUGAAUUUUUUACCCUCUGCAUGUAUAACUUAAAAAAAAAAAAUCAGCAUGCUUCAAAGCAAAAAGGAAAAUGCCCUGGUGCUUGCAAAUAAACACGGAAGAAAGAGAAAGGAGUUUCUCGGCUCCUCCCUUUCCCCACGUGGCCAGCCCUCCCGGCAGUUCCCCUGUGCAGGGGAUCCUUUCUGGUCACCGGGGAAGGAGAGAGUGACAAGUCCGUGGGGGAGCUGCAGUAAUACAUCCCUCAAUAACACGCACCUCACGAGGCGCCUGGGUGGCUCAGUCGGUUGAACGUCCGACUUCGGCUCAGGUCACGAUCUCACGGUCCGUGAGUUCGAGCCCUGCGUCGGGCUCUGUGCUGACGGCUCAGAGCCUGGAGCCUGCUUUGGAUUCUGUGUCUCCCUCUCUCUCUGCCCCUCCCCUGCUCAUGCUCUGUCU